rnacentral:rRNA from 1 species
UCCUGGUGGCGAGUGGCGAACGGGUGAGUAAUAUAUCGGAACGUGCCCAGUCGUGGGGGAUAACGCAGCGAAAGCUGUGCUAAUACCGCAUACGAUCUCUGGAUGAAAGUGGGGGACCUGCAAGGGCCUCGCGCGAUUGGAGCGGCCGAUAUCAGAUUAGCUAGUUGGUGGGGUAAAGGCUCACCAAGGCGACGAUCUGUAGCUGGUCUGAGAGGACGACCAGCCACACUGGAACUGAGACACGGUCCAGACUCCUACGGGAGGCAGCAGUGGGGAAUUUUGGACAAUGGGCGCAAGCCUGAUCCAGCAAUGCCGCGUGCAGGAUGAAGGCCUUCGGGUUGUAAACUGCUUUUGUACGGAACGAAACGGCUCUUUUUAAUAAAGAGGGCUAAUGACGGUACCGUAAGAAUAAGCACCGGCUAACUACGUGCCAGCAGCCGCGGUAAUACGUAGGGUGCGAGCGUUAAUCGGAAUUACUGGGCGUAAAGCGUGCGCAGGCGGUUUUGUAAGACAGAUGUGAAAUCCCCGGGCUCAACCUGGGACCUGCAUUUGUGACUGCAAGGCUAGAGUACGGUAGAGGGGGAUGGAAUUCCGCGUGUAGCAGUGAAAUGCGUAGAUAUGCGGAGGAACACCGAUGGCGAAGGCAAUCCCCUGGACCUGUACUGACGCUCAUGCACGAAAGCGUGGGGAGCAAACAGGAUUAGAUACCCUGGUAGUCCACGCCCUAAACGAUGUCAACUGGUUGUUGGGUCUUUACUGACUCAGUAACGAAGCUAACGCG